rnacentral:rRNA from 1 species
AUGCUGCACUUCAGCCAUCCGGUGGUGCACCCCUCCCCGCCGGUGGUGGGACAGGGGCAGGCGGAGGUGGAGAUGGUGCCGCCGGCCCAGGGGCAGGCGGUGCAGGUGGAGGUGGCGAACGGGGACGGGAACGCGCCUGCUGGGGUGAUCAUGAGGGACCCGUGGACGCGGUGCGGCCUCGUGUUCCGCCUCCUGCAGGCCGCCUUCGCGGCCGCCGCGCUCGCCGUCAUGGCGUCCACCGACGACUUCUCCUCCGUCACCACAUUCCGCUACCUCGUAGCAGCAGCAAGUGUGCAAUGCCUGUGGAGCCUCGCCGUGGCCAUUCUGGAUGCCUAUGCAAUUGUUGUCAAACGUUCCUUCCGAACUGCCGGGGCUGUCAUCAUACUUGCCCUCGGGGACUGGGUCACAGGAACAUUGAUCUUCAGUGCAGCGUGUGGAUCAGCAGCCAUCACCACUCUCCUUUCCAAUGACUUCCGAGCUUGCUCGGUAAAUCCCUGUGCAAGCUUCAUGAACGCUACUGCCAUGGCUUUCUUGAGCUGGCUUGCGCGUGCACCGGCCUUUAUCGGGAACCUUUGGACGGCGGUCCACCGAAUACAAAAAUCGUAG